AGAUUAUUGUGCUCCACACACAACACACAUAAUCAUUUGACACCAAAAUACCAUUACCAUGUUCUCAGAAAACCACAGGUCCCCCACUCACUCUGUCUUCCCAGCAUACUUUCAUGACCCAAUCAUUUCAGAUUUCUGUGCUCUCUCUCUCUCUCUCUCUCUCUCUGAAUUCAACCAGUGAUGGAUGGACUCAGUCUUGGGUGAUUGUCAAGGUCUCCUGAGAGGGAUUGCUUUCUGGGUUUCUCUUCUCUAGUGGGUUCUCUUACUGGGUUCCGUUAAAAUCAAAGAUGUGUUUUGAUUACUGUCUGUAAAUGGGUCUGUGAGAAUCUUUUUUCUGUGGGUUCUUCAACAGGUCAUGAGGGGAAGACUCCGCCUACCUAUUGCCUCUCCCCGAUACUAUUGCAAGCAGGAGCCUUGUGCUACUAUAAGACAUUUUUUUUAUGAUUGUUAUUGGGUUUGAAUUGCUUUGCUUAAUAGGGGGUUUCCUAUCUCAUGAAUUGUUAGAUCAUAAUCACAUUAAAUUGGGGUAUAGAAUCACUUUGGCAAUAAUUCUCUAUUAGCAUAACCAAAUUAAAAUGGGACCUAGAAUCACUUUGACAA